rnacentral:piRNA from 1 species
UGAAUUCAGCAUUGAGCUGAGGCCCGGGA